ensembl:lncRNA
AGUAAUCUUAGCUUGCAAGUAGUUUGAGAUUCUGUAGUUAAAACAGAGUUGUAUUCGGAUUUGACAGUAUCUAAGUAAAUGUUCUGGCUUUUCUGUAUUUAGCAUAUGGCUUAAAACCUCAUGGUGAGGGCCCGGCCCGUGGCGAAGUGGUUAAAUUCAUGCGCUCAGCUUCCUCGGCCCAGGGAUUUGCUGGUUCGGAUCCUGGGCAUGGACCUAGCACCUCUCAUCAGGCCAUGUUGAGGCAGCAUCCCACAUAGCACAACCAGAAGGACCUACAACUACCAUAUACAACUAUGUACUGGGGGGCUUUGGCGAGAAGAAGAAGAAGAAGAAAAAAAAGAAGAUUGGCAACAGAUGUUAGCCCAGGUCUUUACGUGGUCAGGUGUGUGCCCAAUUGUGUCUUCAGCGGACAGUUCAGAAAAUGAAGAGAGUGCUCCCAAAGGCUGAGGUCAUGAGCUUGAAUCCAUUUAACGGCAAAGCUACACCCCAUACCCUCAACUGGCUGUCUUUCAAAGAGCUUCAGGUGGGCAUUAAGGGCUAUAGAAGAGAAUGUGGACAAAAUCAUGUAAAUACACCCUCUUUACCGGGGCAAACAGAAGACAAGCUUUUGUAGUACUACCAGGAGGUAGGACAAGCACAUGCUUUCCUAAUGCAGACAAGGAAAAGAAAAGUUACCUUGAAGUGAGAUUAACCAAGUGUGUGGAGUCUCCAGUUUAUAACCAUAUACUCAUGAUUUGGGAAAAUUAGGAGUUCCAGGGGCUGGGAUGAUACUUUUAACAUGUAUUAUCGCUCAACAAAUAGCAAAUGAAGGAUAAGCCACUCCAAUAUUAGAACUUUCAAGGACAAAUUCAUUUUUCUAGGGCUUUUAUUCCCAGCAAAAUUUAUAUAUUCAAGAGGCCUGGAAAACUAACUUACCUAUAAAAGUAACUUAAAUAGUUACAAAAACAGAGCUAAAGUCCAACUAUUAUAAAAUCCAAUUAUACUAAAGGAGUCAAACUCUCAAAACAUAACUUUUAUCACACGCUCCACUUCGGUGGCCCAGGGUUUCCCUAGCUCGGAUCCUGGGCGCAGACAUGGCACUGCUCAUUAGGCCAUGUUGAGGCGAUGUCCCACAUGCCACAACUAGAAGGACCCACAACUAAAAUAUACAACUAUGUACUGGGGGGAUUUGGGGGAAAGAAAGCAAUUAAAAACAACCGUAACUUUUAUAGGAUUUCUUUUGUUUAAGCUGUUUUGAUGGAGAACAGCUGACAUAUAUGCAAGAAUCCAUUAGCAUACACAUUCUAGGAUUACCAGACACUUUAGAGUUGAGAUUUUGGUUUAAAUAAAAUAAACAAAUGUGAACUUUCACAUAUCAGGUAAAAACAUUUAUUUUUUUCAUUCUUCAAAGAAAGUGUCGUCCCAGCUCCAGCUCCUCCCCCCUCCCCCAUACUUUGAAGUGCCCUCAUGACAGAGAAAGGGCUGUGCUUGGUAGCUAUCCACCUCUCUGACUGCCCCCAAGAAUGCACCCUAGGAAUUCUCUGACCUGUACUGUCACAGUAUGGAGAAAGUUGAGGUCGGGUUAUCUAUUAGUUUUGAUUUUGUUGUAUUUGUUUUUACAUAUUUUUAUUUAUAAUUUAGGGAUCAUUUUUUUUUUUUUUUACUGACAAAUGUAUUCUAGUAUCUUCCUACUAGAUUCACUCUUGAAAAUAUCCAAACUUGGGAAAAUAAUAGGCUAUUAGUAUUCUGAAUGGUUUCUCCUAAGAGUUGCUGCAUUUUGUAAACGUCAGCCAUGACAUAGGACAUUCCUAGGCUGUGAGGACUGGGGGUAGCUUGUUUCAGAGGGAUGAGCAUAGAGUUGGGAGGCACAUGGCCCUGGGUCUGGAUCUCAGCCGUCCUACUGACUAACUGUGUGAUCUUGAGUAAGCCCUUAGCUCCUUGGAACCAUAGUGUACCUUCUAUAAAAUGGAGUAGAAAGUACCUUUCUUGCAGUUAUUGUGAAGAUUAAAUGAAAUAAAUAACUGAAUACCAUGCCAGGAAUACAUCAAUUUAUUGUCCUAAGAUGUCACUGGAUCAUCCAGUCAUUGGAUCAUCAUCAGUUUAAAGAUGAAGACCCAGGACUCAGGAGACAUCAACCUGCCUAAGGUCACACAGGCAGGUGGUGCUGGGUCGAUCACACGAUCCCAGUCUCUAGACUUCAAACCCACAGAGGUUUUCCCUCCAUGUUGUGCAUUGUGCACUGACCCUCCAGUUUCCCACAGCAGCUGAUGAGCCGUGCCAUAACAUGGGUGGCACAGGUGGUCACCUGGGCUGGCCCUUUCCGCACUAUGGACUAUGCCCGUUCGCAGGGGUCAAUUUCACUACUUACUCUAAAUGAAAAACAGGUCCCAGCUUAUUCAUGUGGAGGGGGUCAUGUAUCCUCUGCAGUUAUUAUCUUCUAAAAUAGUAUCUUGGGAAGGGAGAAGAGAGCCAUCACAUACUGAAUACCUGUUGUGUGUCACCUGCUUUCCAUGUGCUCCCAUGUAACCUCCACAGUGUGCCUCAUUGUGCGAGUGAGGAGACCGGGCUCAGAAAAGUUAAGGAACCCGGUGAAGUUCGCACAGAGACAAGCACCAGGCCCAGAAUCAAACCUAGGUCCCUCUAACUCUAAAGGCAUGGUUCUUUUAGCUAUUUCAGACAAAGGCACAAGAUAAAUCACCAGGCCACCAGGGAAAAUAAAAACACACUGGCAUAAAAAAUGUAGGAAGCCCAUUACAAAGCUGAGAGAAACUAGCACCUCGUCACAGAUCUGUCAGGUUCAAACGCUAACUUUUUUUUCUUAUAAUUACAGUGAAAACCAGAGAGAGGUGGGUACACAGAAAGUUGGUUUGCACGUUUGCAGAACAUCCCUGGAAACCAUCACGUGCGAUGCACACAGGCACCUCUAUCGGCAGGACUCCUCUUUUUCUGAAGAAUAAUUAAUAAAUAUUUUCUUUUAGCAUAUAACAAACAGUUGAACCAAACAAUUAUGUAAACUGGAAAUGACCCAAAAUGCUAGCAGUUGGCAGCGGCACAGGGAAAUGCAUUGUCGUGCACAUGUGCAUUUUUGUCACUCCCGCCUCUCUGGUGAUCUGCACUUAAUAGGAA